rnacentral:siRNA from 1 species
GAACAAGUUGCCGCUAUGGU